rnacentral:rRNA from 1 species
UACGUAGGGAGCAAGCGUUAUCCGGAUUUACUGGGUGUAAAGGGCGUGUAGGCGGGAUCGCAAGUCAGAUGUGAAAACUAUGGGCUCAACCCAUAGCCUGCAUUUGAAACUGUGGUUCUUGAGUGAUGGAGAGGCAAACGGAACUCCUAGUGUAGCGGUGAAAUGCGUAGAUAUUAGGAAGAACACCAGUGGCGAAGGCGGUUUGCUGGACAUUAACUGACGCUGAGGCGCGAAAGCGUGGGGAGCAAAC